UACGUAGGGUGCGAGCGUUAAUCGGAAUUACUGGGCGUAAAGCGUGCGCAGGCGGUUUUGUAAGCCAGAUGUGAAAUCCCCGGGCUCAACCUGGGAAUGGCAUUUGGGACUGCAAGGCUGGAGUACGGCAGAGGAGACUGGAAUUCCUGGUGUAGCAGUGAAAUGCGUAGAGAUCAGGAGGAAUACCGAUGGCGAAGGCAGGUCUCUGGGCCGAUACUGACGCUGAGGAGCGAAAGCGUGGGGAGCGAACAGG
rnacentral:rRNA from 1 species